rnacentral:ncRNA from 1 species
CGUUCAGAGAUUGCCUCUGUCGUACCUACGACAGUAGAUACGAGAAUGUGAUUAUUGA